rnacentral:misc_RNA from 1 species
GAACUGCGAUAAGUGUGGUGAAUCGCAGAACACCGCGAACCAUGAAACCGUUGAACGCACACUGCGGCCUCAGGCUCGCCUGGGGUCACGUGCUGCUGAGUGUCGGCCCAAAACCCAAUGACAAAUCACAUUUCGGUGUGAUACAGUCGAUGUGCGGAUGCUCUUCACUGUAGCUUCUGCCAAGUGAAGGACGAAUAAAGGGAAAGCGAGUCUCCGGACUUGCUCCUUUCCCCGAAUGGGAAUGACUUACGCAACAAACGAUGGCUCGCAACCUUAGUGUUGGACUGUAUGGGAUUGGGUAUCAUUGUCCUCGCUAUUCUGCUUGUCGUCUGCAUUAGUCUGAUUCCUGCUCGUCUGCCCUCUCUGUGGGCACUCCUUUCGGGGAGACCGCCACCACAUUGAAGCCGAAGGUUGGAUGUUCCCCUCGGGAGCAGAAGACCUCACCCACUGACCUCAGCAGUACGAGACUACGCGCUGAACUUAAGC